AUACAUACAUGCACACACACACACAUACGUAUAUAUAUAUGUAUACAUAUAAAUGUAUAUGUGUGUGUGU